UACGGAGGGUGCGAGCGUUGUCCGGAAUCAUUGGGCGUAAAGGGCGCGUAGGUGGCCCGGUCAGUCUUUGGUGAAAGCGCGGGGCUCAACCCUGCGUCGGCCAGGGAUACUGCCGCGGCUGGAGCACUGUAGAGGCAGGCGGAAUUCCGGGUGUAGCGGUGAAAUGCGCAGAUAUCAGGAGGAACACCGAUGGCGAAGGCAGGUCUCUGGGCCACUACUGACGCUGAGAAGCGAAAGCAUGGGGAGCGAACAGG
rnacentral:rRNA from 1 species